UACGUAGGCAGCAAGCGUUGUUCGGAAUUACUGGGCGUAAAGCGUGCGUAGUCGGUUAUCUAAGUCGGGUGUGAAAUCCCCGGGCUCAACCUGGGAAUUGCAUUCGAUACUGGAUAGCUAGAGUUCGGCAGAGGGAAGCGGAAUUUCCGGUGUAGCGGUGAAAUGCGUAGAUAUCGGGAAGGAACAUCAGUGGCGAAAGCGGCAUUCCUGGACCAGAACUGACGAUCGAGGCCACGAAAGCG
rnacentral:rRNA from 1 species